GAAUACCAGUAAAUUCUGGGCC
rnacentral:snRNA from 1 species